rnacentral:rRNA from 1 species
AUUGAACGCUGGCGGCAGGCCUAACACAUGCAAGUCGAGCGAGCGGCGGACGGGUGAGUAAUGUCUGGGAAACUGCCUGAUGGAGGGGGAUAACUACUGGAAACGGUAGCUAAUACCGCAUACCAUCAGAUGUGCCCAGAUGGGAUUAGCUAGUAGGUGGGGUAACGGCUCACCUAGGCGACGUUCCCUAGCUGGUCUGAGAGGAUGACCAGCAACACUGGAAUGGAGACACGGGCCAGAGUCUGACGGGAGGCAGCAGUGGGGAAGAGUGCACAAUGGGCGCAAGCCUGAUGCAGCCAUGCCGCGUGUAUGAAGAAGGCUUUAGGGUUGUAAAGUACUUUCAGCGAGGAGGCGUUACUCUCAGAAUAAGCACCGGGUAACUCCGUGCCAGGAGCCGGGGUAAUUC